rnacentral:rRNA from 1 species
UACGUAGGGGGCUAGCGUUGUCCGGAAUCAUUGUGCGUAAAGCGCGCGUAGGCGGCCCGGUAAGUCCGUUGUGAAAGUCAGGGGCUCAACCCUUGAAUGCCGGCGGAUACUGUCGGGCUAGAGUCCGGAAGAGGCAAGUGGAAUUCCCGGUGUAGCGGUGAAAUGCGCAGAUAUCGGGAGGAACACCUAUGGCGAAGGCAGCUUGCUGGGACGGUACUGACGCUGAGACGCGAAAGCGUGGGGAGCAAACAGG